UCACCGUCGUCGCGAGUAAGGAGUGUACGAGAAAGUACGAAGAGAAGUGUAAAGUGUUCUAAUCGACAGAGGAAGACCUGGACGAUUAAUAAGCCAAACGUGCGGACGUCACCAUCGCACUGAACCAGAAAGUCGCCGUCGGCGACUUCGCCGCUGUUAGGGCAUAUCCAAGCAGUUUCAUUAUUAGACGGUGAUCGAAAGUGAGAAAGAGUGUGAACAGUUCUCCCCAGAAUCCAACUAAGAAGAAGGUAACUUGCGACCAGGUAGAAUUGCGGUUAAGUAAGUGCUAAGAUAACCCUCUCAUUCAAAGGUUGACGUGCGGGGCUCAAAGAGCGCGGCGCGCACGCGCACGUGGCAACGCGACAAUUUCGCACCUGGGCUGACUAAGCCCGCGCACAGCACGUGCCGGCAAGUACGACUCGUGCCAUCUAGCCUUCAGCUUCCAGCAACCUGACCACGUGUAGCGCCACUAACACCAUCGAUUAAGCCCCCCGCGAGGUCAAGGCAAUAACGCGUCGUUCACGCGUGCAGCGCCGGUUCCCGUAGGAGUCCACAUUGCCGACUCUGAGCCAAAGGGCUACGGCGCACGUGAGUUUUGCUCUCCGUAGGAGGCCGAGCCAAACCCUCUGAGCAAAAGGAAGCAACAACUCGCACGAACGG